rnacentral:rRNA from 1 species
GACGAACGCUGGCGGCGCGCCUAACACAUGCAAGUCGAACGGAGCUGAGAGAAGCUUGCUUUUCUUAGCUUAGUGGCGAACGGGUGAGUAACGCGUGAGUAACCUGCCCUGGAGUGGGGGACAACAGUUGGAAACGACUGCUAAUACCGCAUAAGCCCACGAUCCGGCAUCGGAUUGAGGGAAAGGAUUUAUUCGCUUCAGGAUGGACUCGCGUCCAAUUAGCUAGUUGGUGAGGUAACGGCCCACCAAGGCGACGAUUGGUAGCCGGACUGAGAGGUUGAACGGCCACAUUGGGACUGGGACACGGCCCAGACUCCUACGGGAGGCAGCAGUGGGGAUAUUGCACAAUGGGGGAAACCCUGAUGCAGCGACGCCGCGUGGAGGAAGAAGGUUUUCGGAUUGUAAACUCCUGUCGUGAGGGACGAUAAUGACGGUACCUAACAAGAAAGCACCGGCUAACUACGUG